rnacentral:rRNA from 1 species
UACAGGGGGUGCAAACGUUGCUCGGAAUUAUUGGGCGUAAAGCGCGCGUAGGCGGCCGCUUAAGUCGGAUGUGAAAGCCCCUGGCUCAACUGGGGAAGUGCACAGGAAACUGGCGGGCUUGAGUUCGGGAGAGGGAAGCGGAAUUCCGGGUGUAGCGGUGGAAAUGCGCAGAUAUCGGGAGGAACACCAACAGCGAAGGCAGCUCGCUGGGACGUUACUGACGCUGAGACGCGAAAGCGUGGGGAGCAAACAGG